rnacentral:lncRNA from 1 species
AUUGAACCCAGUGCCUCAUGCAUGCUAGGCAAGCGCUCCACCACUGAGCCACAACCCCAGCACUUAGGGCAUCUUUUGAUACACCAAAAUUCUAAAUGCUAUCAUAGUCAAAUAGAUUGCACUUUCCUCUGGUAUUUGCAUUUUUAAAUGUCUUGUUGAAGUUCUUCCAUAGCUUAGGUUCAUAAAAGAAUGUUCCCAUAUUUUCUCCUAAAAUUAACAAAAGCAGUUGGCUAUCCCAUGUGAAGGCCUUAGUCCAUGUGGCACUUAUCUUUGUGUUUGGUGUCAGGUGCAGAUCACAUUUCUUUUUUUUUUUUUUCAUAAGGAGCAACCAGAAGGGUCAGCACUGUUCAGCAAGCAGUUCUUUGCUCUUCAGUAACGCAGCUGCCUUUUACGACAUUCUGAUACAUGAUUUUGGGAGCCUCUAUUCUGUUCCUUUGCUCUGAUAAUACCUUUCUCAACCACCAUGCUUUCUUAAUUUCUGUGGUUUAUAAUUCAUCUCACUAGCUCAUGGGGCAGGCCUCCUCAUCUUAUUUUUCUUUUUGGGGGACUAUCUCAGUUUUUUUGCUCAUUGAUUAAAAAGAAAAAGUCUCUGUAGAAUUGGCUUGCAAAAUUCCCCAAGAGACAUUCCGGAAUUUGACUGGAAGAAUAAGGAAUCUAUAGAUCAUUAUGUGACACUGGUAAGUAACCAUUUUUUAUUCAUGUAUCUAAAAUAUUUUCCCAUUUUAAAGAUAUUCUUAAUGUUUUUUCAAUAAAGUUUAAAAUUUUUCUCAUUUUUAAUAAAGCUUACCCAUCUGUUUAUUAAAUUUGUUUUAAGGUAUGUUUAAAUUUGUUG